UAGGGAAUCUUCGGCAAUGGACGGAAGUCUGACCGAGCAACGCCGCGUGAGUGAAGAAGGUUUUCGGAUCGUAAAGCUCUGUUGUUAGAGAAGAACGUUGGUAGGAGUGGAAAAUCUACCAAGUGACGGUAACUAACCAGAAAGGGACGGCUAACUACGUGCCAGCAGCCGCGGUAAUACGUAGUUCCCGAGCGUUGUCCGGAUUUAUUGGGCGUAAAGCGAGCGCAGGCGGUUCUUUAAGUCUGAAGUUAAAGGCAGUGGCUUAGCCAUUGUACGCUUUGGAAACGGGAGGACUUGAGUGCAGAAGGGGAGAGGGGAAUUCCAUGUGUAGCGGUGAAAUGCGUAGAUAUAUGGAGGAACACCGGUGACGAAAGCGGCUAUUUGGUCUGAAACUAACUAUGAGGCUCGAAAACGUGGGGAGCAAACAGG
rnacentral:rRNA from 1 species